AGAGUUUGAUCMUGGCUCAGGACGAACGCUGGCGGCGUGCCUAACACAUGCAAGUCGAACGGAGAAUUUCAAUAAGCUUGCUUAGAGAAAUUCUUAGUGGCGGACGGGUGAGUAACGCGUGGGUAACCUACCCAUAAAGCCGGGACAACCCUUGGAAACGAGGGCUAAUACCGGAUAAUCUUGAGAGCUGGCAUCAGCUUUUAAGGAAAGAUGGCCUCUGAGAAUGCUAUCGAUUAUGGAAGGACCCGCGUCUGAUUAGCUAGUUGGUGGGGUAAAGGCCUACCAAGGCGACGAUCAGUAGCCGGCCUGAGAGGGUGAACGGCCACACUGGGACUGAGACACGGCCCAGACUCCUACGGGAGGCAGCAGUGGGGAAUCUUCCGCAAUGGACGAAAGUCUGACGGAGCAACGCCGCGUGUAUGAUGAAGGUCUUCGGAUUGUAAAGUACUGUCUUUGGGGAAGAACGGUUUUCUUGAGAAGAUUGAGGAGACAUGACGGUACCCAAGGAGGAAGCCCCGGCUAACUACGUGCCAGCAGCCGCGGUAAUA
rnacentral:rRNA from 1 species